UGUCAAAAAGACCAUCUUAUGCCUCACCUCCCAGCCCAGCUCCUGCAACACAAAUGCCCAGCACAUCAGGGUUUGUGGGAUACAAUCCAUACAGUCAUCUCACCUACAACAACUACAGGCUGGGAGGGAACCCGGGCACCAACAGCCGGGUCAUGGCAUCCUCUGGUAUUAUGAUUCCAAAACCACCAAAACCAUCAGAUAAGCUGCUGAUGCCCUACAUGAGGUACAGCCGAAAGGUCUGGGACCAAGUCAAGGCUUCCAACCCUGACCUAAAGUUGUGGGAGAUUGGCAAGAUUAUUUGAUGGCACGUGGCAAGAUCUCACUGAUGAAGAAAAACAAGAAUAUUUAAACGAAUACAAAGCAGAAAAGAUAGAGUACAAUGAAUAUAUGAAGUCCUAUCAUAAUUCUCCCAUGUACCUUGCUUACAUAAAUGCAAAAAGUUGUGCAGAAGCUGCUUUAGAGAAAGAAAGUCGACAGAGACAGUCUUGCAUAGAGAAAGGAGAACCUUACAUGAGCAUUCAGCGUGAUGAAGAUCCAGAUGAUUGUGAUGAUGGCAUUUCAGUGAAGCAAGCAUACAGCCACUGCCUGUUUCCAGAGAAACCACAGCCUCAUCAAUGAAAUCCUUAGUGACAGUGUGGUGCCAGACAUUCAGUCAGCUGUCACAACAGCUAGAAUGCAGGUCCUCAAACAACAGGUCCAGUCCUUAAUGGUUCAUCAGCAAAAACUAGAAGCUGAACUUCUUCAAAUAGAGGAACGAUACCCGAAGACGAGGAAAUUCCUGGAAAGCACAGAAUCAUUUAGCAAUAACUUAAAAGUUUGUGUGGUCUGAAGGUAGAAGUGGAUAUGGAGAAAAUUGCAGCUGAGAUUGCACAGGCAGAGGAACAGACCCACAAAAGGCAGGAGGAAAGGGAGAGGGAGGUGGCAGACCAAGCUAAGCGCAGUCAGAGCGGCAUCGUUCCUGAGCAAGAGCACGCGGCCAACUAAGGUGAGGAGAAGAAAGACGACGAGAACAUUCCAAUGGAGACAGGGGAGACACACCUUGAAGAAAUGACAGAGAGCCAACAGAACAGUGAAGAAGGCACAUCUACUCCUUAAGACAAGGAGAGUGGGCAGGAGGGGAUUGACAGUAUGGCAGAGGAAGGAACCAGUGAUAGUAACACUGGCUCGGAGAGCAACAGCCCAACAGUGGAGGAGUCACCAACAGAUCCCAUACCAGAAGAUGAGAAAAAAG
rnacentral:lncRNA from 1 species